rnacentral:sRNA from 1 species
UAAACACUUUUUAGAAUAGUAAUAACCAAAACUUUUUUAUUUUCACUUCGUUCAAAUAAAAAAGAAAAAAUAACUUUCAACAACGGAUCUCUUGGUUCUCGCAUCGAUGAAGAACGCAGCGAAUUGCGAUACGUAUUAUGACUUGCAGACGUGAAUCAUCAAUCUUUGAACGCACAUUGCACCUUUUGGUAUUCCAAAAGGUAUAUAUGUUUGAGCGUCUCUUAUCCUCAAUCCAAUGGAUUGGUUUUGUCACCAAAGCACAAAUCUAAGAACAACCUUCGACCUCAAAUCAUAUAAGACUACCCGCUGAACUUAAGCAUAUCAAUAAGCGGAGGAAAAGAAACCAACAGGGAUUACCUUAGUAACGGCGAGUGAAGCGGUAAAAGCUCAAAUUUGAAAUCCGCAAGGAAUUGUAAUUUGAAGGCCGGUCUUGGAAUUCACAAAAGUCCAUUGGAACAUGGCGCCACAGAGGGUGACAGCCCCGUUAAGAAAACCAAUAAAAGUCCGCGCCAAAGAGUCGAGUUGUUUGGGAAUGCAGCUCUAAGUGGGUGGUAAAUUCCAUCUAAAGCUAAAUAUUGGCGAGAGACCGAUAGCGAACAAGUACAGUGAUGGAAAGAUGAAAAGCACUUUGAAAAGAGAGUGAAACAGUACGUGAAAUUGUUGAAAGGGAAGGGCUUGCAAACAGACACGGUUUUUUCGGAAACCGGGCCAGCAUCAGUUGGUUGGGGUAGAAAAGGGCCCGGGAAUGUAGCUUCUUUGGAAGUGUUAUAGCCCGCGGCAGAUGUACCCACGACGGACUGAGGCCUGCUUUUAUUAAAGGAUGUUGGCGUAAUGGUUGCAAGUCGC